GAGACAGCAGUAGCCACGGUAAUACGUAGGGUCCGAGCGUUGUCCGGAAUUAUUGGGCGUAAAGGGCUCGUAGGCGGUUUGUCGCGUCGGGAGUGAAAACCAGCAGCUUAACUGCUGGCCUGCUUUCGAUACGGGCAGACUUGAGGCAUUCAGGGGAGAACGGAAUUCCUGGUGUAGCGGUGAAAUGCGCAGAUAUCAGGAGGAACACCGGUGGCGAAGGCGGUUCUCUGGGAAUGUUCUGACGCUGAGGAGCGAAAGUGUGGGGAGCGAACAGGAUUAGAUACCCCUGUAGUCCCUGUCUCUUAUAC
rnacentral:rRNA from 1 species